rnacentral:rRNA from 1 species
GACGAACGCUGGCGGCGUGCUUAACACAUGCAAGUCGAACGGAAAGGCCCUGCUUUUGUGGGGUGCUCGAGUGGCGAACGGGUGAGUAACACGUGAGUAACCUGCCCUUGACUUUGGGAUAACUUCAGGAAACUGGGGCUAAUACCGGAUAGGAGCUCCUGCUGCAUGGUGGGGGUUGGAAAGUUUCGGCGGUUGGGGAUGGACUCGCGGCUUAUCAGCUUGUUGGUGGGGUAGUGGCUUACCAAGGCUUUGACGGGUAGCCGGCCUGAGUGGGUGACCGGCCACAUUGGGACUGAGGUACGGCCCAGACUCCUACGGGAGGCAACAGUGGGGAAUAUUGCACAAUGGGCGGAAGCCUGAUGCAGCAACGCCGCGUGCGGGAUGACGGCCUUCGGGUUGUAAACCGCUUUCGCCUGUGACGAAGCGUGAGUGACGGUAAUGGGUAAAGAAGCACCGGCUAACUACGUG